rnacentral:lncRNA from 12 species
GCUGUCCACGUGGCUCUGCCGCAGCCCAGGAAUGGUGACAGCCCCCGGGGGACCAGAGAGCCCAGAGGCCUCACAGCCCUUUGGCUGCCAAGCCUCGCCCUUCUUGGGGGACCCUCGCCUUUUUCUUGCUUCUCUCACAUGGUGUUAGCUCUCCUGCCAUUCUACACCGAUCUCUUGCCCAAAAGUCUUAGGCAAUGAGGGCUGGAGAAGUGGGGACCCCGCGCCCCGGUCACACACACAGCUGAAAGGGAUCCUUUUCAGGUUGAAAGGCCUCGCACUUCACACUCUGCAAAAGUUGCCAUCCCGGGAAAGGCUUGGAUGCUUGGGGCAGAAACCAGAGCUUGCCACCCUCACCUCGAAGGCUCCUCACUGUAGCAGAAGCUCCACCGGGCCUCGGAUUGCGCCCUACCCAACUCAGCUCCUACCGCGGAAUCUGAACAUGUCUGAGAGGAAGCAGAAACUCUCGUCAAUGACUGGAUUUCCUUCUUCCACCGAGAAGACCUCGGAGAAUCCCAACUGUAGCUGUUGCAGCCUCCGGAGCAGCAGCCGAUAAGCCCAAUGAUCGGAAUAACAGCGAGUGUCCGCCCGGCCGUUCUGGGUGCAAAGUACUCUUUGCUCUUUCUCCCAAGGAUCCCACGGUCUCUUUAGCCCCACUUAACAGGUGACCAAACCGUGGCUCCGAGAGAUUAAGGGACGUUUUCCAGGUUACGGGGUGAACAAGUGGGAGAAUAAGAACCUAAACCAAGGUCUGCUGACCCACGCCCCCGUGCUCUGUCCACUGUGCUCACUGGGCUCGGUCUGUAACGCUCAUGUGGCAUUUCAUUUGUACGUUGAUCGCCUUCCGCUGAAAUCCUAUCCUGUUGAAUAUGCUGUAUUGCCCAACUCCUGCCCCUUUUACCUUAGUCUUGGCCCUCGCCAGCCUCUGCAGAGCUGGGGUGAUUGGCUUUACCCAGAUCAGUGAUGGACUGACCGCUGGCCUUCAGGUCAGGCGACCCGAGUGUUUGGCUCUGACUCGGACACUACUGAAGGCGUGACUCCGCUUGGCUCCCCUCACUUUUCUAGACACCCCA